rnacentral:rRNA from 1 species
GACGAACGCUGGCGGCGUGCCUAACACAUGCAAGUCGAACGGGACCAGGGGCAACUCUGGUUCAGUGGCGGACGGGUGCGUAACACGUGAGGAACAUGACCUUCGGCGGGGGAGUAGCCGGCCCAACGGCCGGGUAAUACCGCGUACGACCACAUGGGGACAUCCCUGAGUGGUGAAAGCAGCAAUGCGCCGAUGGAGUGCCUCGCGGCCUAUCAGCUAGUUGGUGAGGUAACGGCUCACCAAGGCGACGACGGGUAGCUGGUCUGAGAGGAUGGCCAGCCACAUUGGGACUGAGACACGGCCCAGACUCCUACGGGAGGCAGCAGUGGGGAAUAUUGCGCAAUGGACGAAAGUCUGACGCAGCGACGCCGCGUGUGGGACGACGGUCUUCGGAUUGUAAACCACUGUCGGGAGGGACGAAUACGCCGCAAGGCGGGUGACGGUACCUCCAAAGGAAGCACCGGCUAACUCCGUGCCAGC